ACUCCUACGGGAGGCAGCAGUGGGGAAUAUUGCACAAUGGGGGGAAACCCUGAUGCAGCCAUGCCGCGUGUGUGAAGAAGGCCUUCGGGUUGUAAAGCACUUUCAGUAGGGAGGAAGGUAGUGUAGUUAACACCUGCAUUAUUUGACGUUACCUACAGAAGAAGCACCGGCUAACUCCGUGCCAGCAGCCGCGGUAAUACGGAGGGUGCGAGCGUUAAUCGGAAUUACUGGGCGUAAAGCGCAUGCAGGCGGCCUGUUAAGUCAGAUGUGAAAGCCCGGGGCUUAACCUCGGAAUUGCAUUUGAAACUGGCAGGCUAGAGUCUUGUAGAGGGGGGUAGAAUUUCAGGUGUAAGCGGUGAAAUGCGUAGAGAUCUGAAGGAAUACCAGUGGCGAAGGCGGCCCCCUGGACAAAGACUGACGCUCAGAUGCGAAAGCGUGGGGAGCAAACAGGAUUAGAUACCCUGGUAGGAUAG
rnacentral:rRNA from 1 species